rnacentral:rRNA from 1 species
AGAGUUGAUCCUGGCUCAGGAGUGAACGCUAGCUACAGGCUUAACACAUGCAAGUCGAGGGCAGCAUGGAGUUGCUUGCAAACUCUGAUGGCGACCGGCGCACGGGUGAGUAACGCGUAUCCAACCUGCCCACGGCCAGGGAAUAGCCCGCUGAAAAGCGGAUUAAUGCCCUAUGGCGUCCUUUGCAGACAUCUAAUGAGGACUAAAGGUUUACCGGCCAUGGAUGGGGAUGCGUCCGAUUAGGUAGUUGGCGGGGUAACGGCCCACCAAGCCUUCGAUCGGUAGGGGUUCUGAGAGGAAGGUCCCCCACAUUGGAACUGAGACACGGUCCAAACUCCUACGGGAGGCAGCAGUGAGGAAUAUUGGUCAAUGGGCGGAAGCCUGAACCAGCCAAGUAGCGUGCAGGAAUGACGGCCCUAUGGGUUGUAAACUGCUUUUAUGCGGGAAUAAAGAAGCCCACGUGUGGGCAGUUGCAUGUACCGCAUGAAUAAGGACCGGCUAAUUCCGUGCCAGCCGCCGC